rnacentral:rRNA from 1 species
UACGUAGGGUGCGAGCGUUAAUCGGAAUUACUGGGCGUAAAGCGUGCGCAGGCGGUUCGUUGUGUCGGUGGUGAAAGCCCCGGGCCCAACCUGGGAAUGGCCAUGGAAACUGGCGAACUGGAGUGUGGCAGAGGGGGGUGGAAUUCCGCGUGUAGCAGUGAAAUGCGUAGAGAUGCGGAGGAACACCGAUGGCGAAGGCAGCCCCCUGGGCUAGCACUGACGCUCAGGCACGAAAGCGUGGGGAGCAAACAGG